rnacentral:rRNA from 1 species
GUGCGAAGGGAGCAUAAUCAUUUGUCCUUUAAUUGAGGACUGGUAUGAACGGCUGAACAAGAAAUCAACUGUCUCUGCUAUAAAUUUUGAAAUUGACAUUUAAGUGAAAAGGCUUAAAUGAGAUAGGGGGACGAUAAGACCCUAUAAAUCUUGAUGAUUAAGAUAAUAAAUUUUAGGCAGUAGUAAUAAGUUUAAAUUUAAUGUGUUAAUUAUUUUGUUGGGGCGACAGGAGUAUAAGAAGUAACUGCUUUGAAAAAAUAAUUAAUUAUUUUUAUGAUGUUUUGUUUGUGAUCCUUCUAUGAAGAUAAUAGAUCAAGUUACUUUAGGGAUAACAGCGUAAUCUUUCUUGAGAGUCCAUAUCGAAAGAAGGGGUUGCGACCCCGAUGUGCAAUUAAGG